rnacentral:tRNA from 1 species
AUUAGUAAAGUGAUUGCAUUAAGAAUUUUGAAUUCUUAGAUUAUCUAAUU